AUGUAGUGUUCUAAUGUAUACUAACAAGAGGGUGUUAUUUGAUUAAUUGAGUUGAUAAGACUCUUCAUACUAAUAGUAGACCAAAAGGAAGUCUUAUCAUGUUUGUAUGUAAAUGUUAUACCUAUUGAAGGAAGUGUCCCUUUACAGGAAGAUGCAUAUAAUACUUAAGAAGUGUAUACUUGUGAUAUGAUAAUGGUUCUGGUUUUUAACUCCCCAACUCAUGUUUUACAUUAACAUAUAUUACUAAAUUCAUUAUAACUAAUUUAAAUAUGUGAACUCAUUUUUUCCCCAAUUCUUCAAGAGUAAGAGGCAAAAGAAAUCAAACUCAACCGGUAUGGAAUUUCGUUCUUUAAAAGAUGUGGAGAUUGCUUGAUCAAAGUGGGCCGAUAUCAAUGCAGAGCGCGAAGAUCUGGAAAAGAAAAGAGAUUGUCUAUUUUGCUACGUAUUGUCAAAGGAUGCCGUCAGCAAGGUUUCUGACUAUGGCUACAAGCAUGGUCAUUUUCAAAUUGAUGCUGAUGAUCAGGUCAUUUUAAGGAGAAGUAUGAGUUUAGCCAUACGGGUCAUAGUGGUAGGGGAAGACGUCAAGGCAAAGGGAGGGCUGUGGUCGAGGAGCUUGAAGCGUUGUACCUGAAAGAUAGACUCAAUCAUCAAGAGCUUGAAAUUGAAACAUGCACUUCUGUUUUGAUUAAGACCGGAUCUAGAGUGUUGCUUUUGCAUAAACUUCUCAAUUAUAUCCUAAAAAGCUAUUCAGCAAUUUGUAAUAUAUUUUGUGACAUUUGCAGAACUUCCAAAC